AAGAAGUUCAACAUUUAAAUAAAUUGUACACAUUCCCAGUCGAUUUGAUUUUUACUUUCACACAGGUUAUAUUAUCCUAUUCCUGACUAUCUUUACGGUUUGCUUUGUGAUGGCAUAUUUGUUCAUCCUGCCCUUGAUGAAUAAAGUACCUGAAACAUUUCUCACACCUUUAAAGGCAAUACUACCUGUCUUUAUUGCAAAGUAUUUAUUCGAAUAUUUUAAAACUGUAUUAAUUGAUCGGCGACAUCUUCAGGACCAUAAAGUGAAGAAAAAUCAUUCAGAAGAUUAUCAGCGUGUGCUGGCAUUGAAAAAUAGGACUUCAUUCAACGUCUUGGACUAUUUCCUGUUUUUCUUUCAUGUGAUCAUAGGGUUCUUCGGGUGCAUUAGCAGAAUUCUUCUUGGAGCUACAAUUGGAAUUUUAACUGUCGCUCGAAUAGACGGUUCUCUGCUGCCAAGAGGCUAUGAACACCUUGAUAAUGGAUACGCGGCAUAUGUUGGUUUGAUCAUGUUUGAACUUCGUCACAGGAAUCCUAUUUUGUUGGUUUUCUGUGAUGAACUCUUGACUUCACAGAAAAACAAAUCGACUGACAUUUCACUACAGGCUCCGCAAGAAAACCUCGAAUACCAAAGGAGUGUGUCCGAUAGUUUGAAAAGACAGAAACAGACGUUUUUACGCAAUAAAUGGUAUAAAGCGUUUACAGUUGUCAACAAUCCAAGUCUAAGGCAGACAAAUAAACCAAAACUGUUGAGGGGUUUCAGCGAAAAUCCUAAUGUUGACAUAACACAAUCUUUUAAUGUUUCAGAAGCAUAAAAGAGAUGUUAUACAAUGAAAAGAAGUUUUUCAAAAGCUUAUCUAGCAAAUCAAUUAAUAUGUUAUCUUAUAAUUUAAUUUAAUAUUUUUGUAUGUCAUGUAGAUAUAUAUAAUAUAUGAAAUCCUUUUAAGUACAUCCAUAUAUUACAUACAUUCUUUCAAUUAAGUUUAUCCAUUUUUUACAUUUAAGUCUGCGUCGAAGAACAUAUGAAGAUGAACAAAAAUGAUAUUCCUCAGUGUACACAUUUAGCUUAGGAUUAUUUUUAGAUGAAUUAUUAUAAUUGAUAUUUUUCUCUUGUAUUAAAAAACGUUAUUUAUAGUCAAAUUGCUUUACAAAAAAAUGCAAUACUCCCACAUGAUAUGAUGUGGUU